CGCAAGAUUAAAACUCAAAUGAAUUGACGGGGGCCCGCACAAGCGGUGGAGCAUGUGGUUUAAUUCGAUGCAACGCGAAGAACCUUACCUACUCUUGACAUCCAGAGAACUUUCCAGAGAUGGAUUGGUGCCUUCGGGAACUCUGAGACAGGUGCUGCAUGGCUGUCGUCAGCUCGUGUUGUGAAAUGUUGGGUUAAGUCCCGCAACGAGCGCAACCCUUAUCCUUGUUUGCCAGCACUUCGGGUGGGAACUCCAGGGAGACUGCCGGUGAUAAACCGGAGGAAGGUGGGGACGACGUCAAGUCAUCAUGGCCCUUACGAGUAGGGCUACACACGUGCUACAAUGGCGCAUACAGAGGGCGGCCAACUUGCGAGAGUGAGCGAAUCCCAAAAAGUGCGUCGUAGUCCGGAUCGGAGUCUGCAACUCGACUCCGUGAAGUCGGAAUCGCUAGUAAUCGUGGAUCAGAAUGCCACGGUGAAUACGUUCCCGGGCCUUGUACACACCGCCCGUCACACCAUGGGAGUGGGCUGCAAAAGAAGUAGGUAGUUUAACCUUUCGGGGAGGACGCUU
rnacentral:rRNA from 1 species